ACUACCAUAAAUCAUUCAUAAACAUCAUUAAAAUCAUUUUGGAAUAGAAAAGAAAUUAGUUCAUCGAAGGGUCGGAAGAUUACGUAGUCCUUGAACUGAACCUAAAGAUUUAGUCUUCUGUGUUUAUAGAAGGCUCAAUAUAUAUAUAUAUAUAAGUGAGGAAGAGAGAGAGCUCCCAAAGAUAGAUAGAUAGAGAUAGAUAGAGAGACGUCAGAGAUAGGAGAGAGGGCUGCCAUUUUGGUCAAGGAUAGCUGCCCUCAAACAGCCCCUCAUUAUGACAAAAACAACUUUUUUCAAAAGUUGUCAGAAGACAUUUUUUUUGGGGGAGAUGAAUGAAGGAGUCUCCUCUCAUCACUACUCUCUGAUCAAGUCUCUACUAGUCCAGCAUUAGUCCGACCGGUCGGGCUAUGGCAGUUGGUUUCUGAUCUUUUCUAAUCGGUUGAGCUUUCAGUCUUCUAAUCUCUCUAAUACUCUUUUUUACCUGUAAAAUUAUUUAAAACCCAUUUGCGGAAAACAACAAUUAAAUUGCACAAAUAAAAUGCGUAAGAAUGCUAAAAGGCGAGAUAAUUCGAUCAAUAAUUUGCAAUAAAAUGUGUGAAUUGCACACUCCGACUUGACUUUUGCUAGUCCCUUAGCAACUAGGAUAGCUUGAGAAUUUCUACCUAAUCAGAGGUUUGAGAUUUAUUUAACAACAUGACAUAUACAAAAAUUAGUUAAGUACACAUGAAAGAUGCAAAAAUUUAAAAAUUCUUGUUCAUCGGUCAAAUUUAACUACAACCAAGUAAUGUACCUCUUCACUUAGUCAAACAAAUUGCAUUCACUCUAUCUAUUAAAUUCGAGCUUCAACUUCAAGCCUCAAAAUAAAAUUACUCUUCUACAAAUCUAGGCACAAAUCCCACAAGCAUGUUUUGAUAUACCAAUAUCACAAGGAAUACAAAGCAAUUACAUAUUUAAACAAAGCAACGUAUAAAGAUUAUAUGUUCUAUUCUAUAAGUAAUGAAGAGAAUGCACAAAAUUAUAGGCAUAAGCAAGUUAUAAAAGAAAUUAUUCUAUUCAAUUCAUACCCAAUGGCACCACUAGAGUUAACAUGGUCUUUUUAGAUUUUAUUGACCUUGGUGCCAAAAAUCGGGUUAGACCAAAAAUGGAUGACAACUUUACGAUGUGGUGUGGAUUUCUACCUAAUUUUGCUGUCAUCCAACCCAAUAUACUAAUAACUACUACUAUUAUUUAGACCAUAGGUCGUGACUUAUUUCAAAUUAUCGUCCUCAUCCUCAUCCUCAUACCAUUCUCUUUUCUCUUUAUAUUUUGUUUUUCGACUCUUACUUCUCAACAACAGUGAAAACUAAGGCUUGGGAUUAUGUGCGUAGUACUAUGCUACUUUUCUAAAUCAACUCCAGAGUAGUAGUAUUUUUUUUUCCAAUUCGAUUUGAACACAAUGCACUUCUAGGUUAUCAUUUUAAAUAAAACCAUUAAUCUAAAACCCAUUUAUUAUGUCACCAUUCCUCAUCCUUCAACUCCGAUUAUCUAGGCUUGGGAAUGAUAGUUUCUAACAAGUGUAUGACUCAAUUAUGAUGCAAAAGAGUUAGACUGAAAAUAUAUGUUCUUAUAAUGAAAAGAAUGCCAUUGUAUCAUCCCCUAAGAGCCAUAAAUCACAAAAUAAAUAUAAUUGAACCCAAAUAUAAAUAUAUGCCUUUAAUAAGAAUAUUAUGUUCCCACAAUAAAAAAAGAGGCUCAAAGUGUAUGAAUAAGUCUCCACUCUUUUAUGUCAAGAUUUUAUGAAUACAUAGUAGUUAUGUUUUUAAUAAGAAUAUUAUGUUCCCACAACAAAAGGAGAGGCUCAAAGUGUAUGAAUAGGUAAUUAAGUCUCCACUCUUUUAUGUCAAGAUGUUAUGAAUACAUAGUAGUUCAACUUUGUUCAUUUGGCUUAUGCUAAAGUUAUGUAAAAAAUGGCCCAUUAUACAAAUCUAAUAUCACUUAAGUAAUAAACUGGAUUUUUAUAAUUCACAUGAGUAUGUUUAGAGUCAAAUAUAUCUUUAAACUAUUGAUUAAAUCAAAUUUUACCAAAAAUUUCAAAAAAUUGGAUUUUUUUUACUUAAAUAAAAAAAUGCUAUCAAAAACUAACCCUUACCCCUCAACUUGAAUUGUGCAGUGUCCUCAAUGAAAAAUAAUAACAAUUAUCAAAAUAAAAGGGAAUGAAGUCACCUAUGAGCAUAACAUCUUAUCAACUAGUGCAGCUGCCUGCACCUCUAGUGCUCUACGGACUUAGCCGAUCGGUCUAGCAUUGGUCCAAUCGGUCGGGCAUAAGGCAAUUCAUGCCUUUUGUCUUCUGGUCCUUCCUGGACCGAUAGAGAAAUGCCUAGACCUGUCCAGGCAUGGUGGUUUAGAUUUUGAUAAAUUUCUUUUUAACACUUUUCCACCCUGCAAAAUACUUAAUUCUACUUGUGCUACAAAAGAUAUAAAAUGAACAAUUUUAUGCGCAAUAGAUCUAUGAUUUGCAUCAUACCUCUGUCUAAUCACCUGGACUGCUUGCAAUAUUAAUUUUCUAAAACGGAUGUUAAAACAAAUACCAAAAAGGUGCAAUUUAAUAAGCGAGCAUUGAAAUAAAGCAGAAAUAGAAAAAAUAAACUAUAUGUAAGAAAACUAACAUCAAAUCAUCGGGUGAUUUUUCAAUGUUAGAAACACCAUCAUCCAGUUGGAUAAUGAUGCACAAAAGAUCCCAGCUUAGAUUAUUUGAACAAAAUUAUAUUCGACCAUACCAUGUGAUCAAAUACUUGGAAUAUUUUUUAUUUUUUCUGCACCUUAAGUAUCUUUAUUUCACCACUAUUUCAUUUUUAAUUGGUGUAGUUUUGAGUUUGUUGACUAGUUGGACAAAAUAAUGAUCCACAACCCAAUUAAAAUUUUCAACACUAAAAAAAUCGAUUAGCUCUACAUCAAUGAAAGACUUAGUUGGACUAAGAUUAGGCAACUCAACUUCAUCCAUACAUUAAGUUGUUUAAGUGGUGCGAUCAGUUCUUGUGUCAGAUUUUCGUGGUCCUCAUUGAUAUGUUCAACCUCAAAACUAUUGGGUUUGUUUUGUGUUUCCCACAACUCACUGUUAUAUUCCUUACUAUAGGUCUCUACCUCCCAUACUUGUUCCUAUCGGCCUUGAGUCAAUGACUCUUGCUCCUCUUGUCCAUUAAACAUGUGAACUAGAUGAUCCACUUGGAUUCCUAGUUCAACAAUUGAUUGACAAUUGGACGCGAGUUCUUGAACACUAGCCUCAUAAUCUUGUAACGUUUGCAACAUACUAUCCUCAAAAUCUAGAUUUUCUUGAGGUAGCGGAGGAUAGUAAUGUUAGUAGGGCUGUUUAGGAGGGCCAAUGUAAUGGGAAUGAAUAUAGGACAUAUUAGUGUCCUCCAUCCAUAGUUUUUGGGUCCAAGAAGAGUUUGAGUGAGUUUUCCACUCAUUGUUGUGAGUGUACGAGUAUGAAUUGUUACUACUAGAAUUCAAGCAUCCUUGGGUAGUGUUGAUAAAUUUUUGCACAAACUUAGGAAACUCACGAGCCUGAGGACAUUCAGUCACAAGGUGGUUGUGACUAGAACAUAUAAGGCAUGACUCUUUGUAAAAAACUUUCUUAUGGUUGGGUUGGGGACACGAUGUUCGUUGGCUUUGAAGAACAUCUGCAAAGUGUCCUUUAGACUCUAUUUUUGAGGAGGCUGGUACACAUCUGGAAUUAGGGGAUAAUAAUGACCUUGUGGACUAUAGAUUUCUAAAAAAUUUUGUUGUCCAUAAGGCCCUUGCCCUAUUGAGGUCAUAUGUUGGUGGGAUUCAGUGUACAAUAAUUCCUUAGACCACGGUGGUGGAGGUGAAUAUGUAGAAGCAUUAUAUCUAUCCCAUUCAUGAUUGGACUGUGGUACGUCAAAAUUAAAAUCAAAAGGCAUCAUUUUUCCCCCAAAAGUAACUAAAAAACAACACUUACAAUCCUUGUGAUGAAAUCACAAGGACUCAGCUUGGCAUUUAAGCUCCCCAGCAAAGAUGCCAUAAAUGCUUGUCACUUUACCGUGUUUAUUUUAUUUAUCUAAUUCAGUUCCCAAGCGUAGAAAUUUAGUUAAUUCAGCAUAAUACUCGAAAGUCCCGAUGUCAUUUUUUCACAAAGAACUUGUAUGCAAGAUUGAGUUUUGUUGUAAUUAAAGAAAGUGUAAAAUUAUGAUUUUUUUCUUCUUUUUGUAAAUAGUGUGAAUAAAAAUGUAACCUACAAAUGUAAAAUAGCAAGGUUCAAAUCCUUAGUCGUCUCCUAGUUUAAAUGUGUCAAUUCAUUUUUUCUUUUACAAACUCAAUCAAUUGUCAAGGUAUAAUGAUGAUGGUUGAAAGAUUUUUCAGUGAAAAUAUUGUUUUACGUGUAAAGAUGUGUUUAUAAAAUAAAAAAUGAAUUUGGAUAAUGUUUCAAAUACCUAGAAUGCAAGUGAUCUAAGUAUUAUUUGUACCAAGUAUUCUUGUUAAAAAAUAAUCAAGAAUGGGUAUAAUUUCAAGUUUUGAUCUUAAAAACUACCAUAAAUCAUUCAUAAAUAUCAUUAAAAUUAUUUUGAAAUAGAAAAGAAAUUAGUUCAUCGAAGGGUUGAAAGAUUACGUAGUCCUUGAACCGAGCCUAAAGAUCUAGUCUUCUGUGUUUAUAGAAGGCUCAAUCUUUAGUGCAAAAUAAUUUAAUAAAACAAAAAGAACUAAACACAUUUAAGAAAAAAGCUGAAAAUAAAAUAGCAUGGAAUAAAUGAAAAUUACAAAAUUACAAUAAAGAGAACUUACAAACUUUUAUCAAAAAGUAAAAUCCGAAAAUUACAGCACUAGAACUUGAACUAUUCUAAUCUAAUCUACAACUAAAAAUAUAAAGUGUAAAAACUAAAACUGAAAGCUAAAAUUAACAGAGAGCUCAUAAAUAAAAACUUGGUUCUUUAUGAGUUUUUCUAUUUGCCAUGAAAUUUACAGUGAAGACAACCAUGAAUGACUUCAUGGCCCCACUUCUCCCCACUUCUCCACAUUUCACAAAACAAACAAGCGGGAAUUGAAAAAAAGAAUUUGGGCAGAAAUUUUGAACCCCAAUCCCUCCAUCCUCCCACCAAACAGUGGUCCCUCCAUCUUUCCACUGCAUUCUUCUCCCUCCCUCUAAUCACCAACCACCACCACCCUCACCGAACUACCCACCACUUGGCCCCCCCACACGCCAAGUGGUUCCAAGGAUUUUAGUAGUACUCCUUGUAAAUUCAAUUCUCUCUCCUCUAUGGGUAUGUUUCAUCUUUUUUUUUUUGUGAAAAUGUAUGUUCCUACCAUUAGCACUAAACAGGAGUUUUUUCACUCUUUUAGAUGUCUUGGAAUAAAUCCCAGUGAAUGUCCACUGCUGACUGAUAUCACAAAGUGGUGCUUCAAAGUGGGGAUUAAAAAUUAAGGCUUAACGGUGGGAUUAAAAAAUUAGGGGAUGAAAAAUAGAAUUAAAAUUUUUUAAUUUCUAGAAACCUUGAUUCUUUGUGUUUUUAAAUCUUAUAUUUCUUAUUUUUGUAGAAUCAUGAAUAAAGAUAUGGAAUUUGGAGAGAAUAUGAAUGUGGGGCGGUAUUGGAACCUCAAGUCGGAACAAUAUUCAUUUCAAAAAUGAAGCCAAGGAAUAUUAUAGUACUUAUGCAAAAGCAAAAGGUUUUGGUUCGGUCGUCAAAGCAUUUAAGAAGCUUGACUAUGGGGUAAGGCAUACAUAACUUAGCUUCAUCGCAGUGGAAAGCCCAGGACAACGCUUUGAAGCCGUUAUCCCAUCCAACAUCAAAGUAGAUUGUAAAGCGCAUAUGAUAUCUCUUUGCCAAGUUGAUGGAAAGUGGAUGUUUAAUUCGAUUGCAUUUAACACAUAACCAUGAUUGACCCGGAAAAGGCGAAAUAUCUUAAGUGUUAUCGGACUCUCCCACCACAUCGCAAAGGGCAAUUGAAUUGAAGCAUGGAUGUUGGAAUCAAAUUAAACCCCAUUUAUUAGGGCAUGUUUGAUUGGGAAGGGGGCCCGUAAUCAUGUGACGUGGAUAGAAAGGAUGCCUUAAUCACAAUGAUAAAGUUAGGCGUUCAGAGCUCACGGAAGGGGCUGCGCAGGCAAUGCAUAGUUUACUUUGUUAGGAUGCCAAGACACGGUAACUUCUUUUAUGCCAUCGAAUUUGAUAAAGAUCAUCCAAUAAAUAAAAUUUAUUAUUAAUAAAUCCUUUUUGGGCGCGAUGCUAGGAGUCGAGGUUAUACCAAGAAUUUGGUCGAUGUGGUUACAUUUACACCACUUAUCUUGUUUAACACUUCGAUAUUCCUUUCGCACCAUUUUGUAGGGGUCACCCUCAUGGACAGUCAUUGUUUGGUUGGUUUGGUAACACGGAGGACACACUUCAAUUUGUAUGGUUGUUUCAAGACUUGGCUUUUUCUUGGCUUUUAGGUUCCUACCCGAACGCCAUCAUCAUAUCCAAUGUAGGCCAUGCAAAAUGCAAUAAGUCAAGUUUUUCCAAUACAAACCAUCGUUGGGUUUUGUGGUUUCAUGAAAAGUCCCUGACAAGCUUAAUGGUUACAAGGAGUAUAAGUCAAUUUAAUAUCCAUUAAAAGUUUGUAAUGAUUCCUUGAGAGGGGGGAGGGGGGGGGGGGGGGGGGGGGAGGGGGGGGGUGCAAUGAGUUUGACCGAGUUGGAAAUCUAAAUAAACAGUUUGAUCUACAGAACAAUGGUUGCUAGCUGAUUGUACGGGAGAGACACUGAUGGGUACGCAGCUUUGUCAAGGAUACUUUUUGGGCGGGAUGUCAACACCCACGGCGAGAGCUGAAUGCUUCUUUGAUGGCUACUUCCAUUCCAAUACCUUUUGACGGAAUUUGUGAGCAAUAUGAUAAUGCCUUACGUAAAAGGUGUAACAAGAAGAAGAGGCAAUACACGUUCCCUAAACGUUCAAAUUCAGAAUGUGUCACCUUAUGAUAUAGAACCAAUUUCAGGGCAAGCCUACACAGUAAGAAAUCAAUCAUUCCGAGAGCAGGUAGCUCCAACAUGGGUGCAGUUUGACUGUUGGACCGGUAGUUAAUGGUAUUUCACAAUUUCACAUUGAGCAAGACUCUCGUUGGGAAAGAAACAGCAAACUUUUUAAAACUUUUACUUCGCUUGUUUCAGUUCAAUGAGGAGUCCACAGAACUAAUUGCAUUGUCGGUUGUUCGAGAGUAAGGGGAUGGUAUGCGCACUAUGAUCAAGUUUUGGUCCAAAAAGAAGCUUCAAGUAGUGCUCGUAUACAUUCUCCGAAAGAUGGAGGAAAAACUUUGGUACUAGUUACACAAAAUUAAGGUGUAGUUAUGUUAAAUGGGAACGCAACCGAAAUUUGUUCUCUAUGACCGUUGGAAAAGUUAUUCAAUGAGGGCGCCGAUAAGUCCAUUUAUUCGCGCAGCCAAACUAAUCUGAUGGCUGGCUAGGUUGCGCGAAAUUAUAGUGGAGAAUGAAUUGGAUGUUGAUAACUAUCCAAGUCAAUAUGCCUACAGUUGAUAUGCACA
rnacentral:lncRNA from 1 species